rnacentral:rRNA from 1 species
UACGAAGGGGGCUAGCGUUGUUCGGAAUCACUGGGCGUAAAGGGCGCGUAGGCGGCUUUGUAAGUCGGGGGUGAAAGCCUGUGGCUCAACCACAGAAUUGCCUUCGAUACUGCAUGGCUUGAGACCGGAAGAGGUAAGUGGAACUGCGAGUGUAGAGGUGAAAUUCGUAGAUAUUCGCAAGAACACCAGUGGCGAAGGCGGCUUACUGGUCCGGUUCUGACGCUGAGGCGCGAAAAGCGUGGGGGAGCAAACAGG